AUCGCUUCUCAACUUUUUGGCUAAGAUCAAGUGCAGUAUCUGUUCUUAUCAGUUUAAUAGUAAAUACCAUAGUACUACAUGAUCUGCAGCUGGUUGAUGCAGAACCAUGGAUGUGGAGAAACCCUGGGUACAGAGGGCCAACUGUAAGUUUUACAGUUUUUCCCCUACACAGA
rnacentral:snRNA from 1 species